GAUGAACGCUGGCGGCGCGCCUAACACAUGCAAGUCGAACGGUUAAGGCACCUUCGGGUGCAAAUAAAGUGGCGAACGGCUGAGUAACACGUGGGCAACCUGCCCCUCUCAUCGGGACAGCCUCGGGAAACCGUGGUUAAUACCGAAUACUCCGGGACCCCCGCAUGGGGGACCCGGGAAAGCUCCGGCGGAGAGGGAUGGGCCCGCGGCCUGUUAGCUUGUUGGUGGGGCAACGGCCCACCAAGGCAAUUAUGGGUAGCUGGGUUGAGAGACCGACCAGCCAGAUUGGGACUGAGACACGGCCCAGACUCCUACGGGAGGCAGCAGUGGGGAAUCUUGCACAAUGGGCGAAAGCCUGAUGCAGCGACGCCGCGUGCGGGAUGAAGGCCUCGGUUGUAACG
rnacentral:rRNA from 1 species